AUUGAACGCUGGCGGCAUGCCUUACACAUGCAAGUCGAACGGCAGCGCGGACUUCGGUCUGGCGGCGAGUGGCGAACGGGUGAGUAAUACAUCGGAACGUACCCUGUUGUGGGGGAUAACUAGUCGAAAGAUUAGCUAAUACCGCAUACGACCUGAGGGUGAAAGUGGGGGACCGCAAGGCCUCACGCAGCAGGAGCAGCCGAUGUCUGAUUAGCUAGUUGGUGGGGUAAAGGCCCACCAAGGCGACGAUCAGUAGCUGGUCUGAGAGGACGAUCAGCCACACUGGGACUGAGACACGGCCCAGACUCCUACGGGAGGCAGCAGUGGGGAAUUUUGGACAAUGGGGGCAACCCUGAUCCAGCAAUGCCGCGUGUGUGAAGAAGGCCUUCGGGUUGUAAAGCACUUUUGUCCGGAAAGAAAUCGCGCUGGUUAAUACCUGGCGUGGAUGACGGUACCGGAAGAAUAAGCACCGGCUAACUACGUG
rnacentral:rRNA from 1 species